rnacentral:rRNA from 1 species
UGGCUCAGAACGAACGUUGGCGGCGUGGAUUAGGCAUGCAAGUCGAACGAGAACCGUAGCAAUACGGGGAAAGUGGCGAAAGGGGCAGUAAUGCAUGGGUAAUCUACCCCGGGGACGUGGAUAGCCAUCCUAACGGGUGGGUAAUACACGGCGAUUCGGCGGCGACGCAGGAAAGGAAUUUCGCCUCGGGAGGAGCUCAUGUCGUAUUAGCUAGUUGGUGGGGUAACGGCCUACCAAGGCGAAGAUGCGUAGCGGGUGUGAGAGCACGACCCGCGCCACUGGCACUGAGACACUGGCCAGACACCUACGGGUGGCUGCAGUCGAGGAUCUUCGGCAAUGGGCGCAAGCCUGACCGAGCGACGCCGCGUGCGGGACGAAGGCCUUCGGG